GACGAACGCUGGCGGCGUGCUUAACACAUGCAAGUCGAACGGUAAGGCCCUUCGGGGUACACGAGUGGCGAACGGGUGAGUAACACGUGGGUGAUCUGCCCUGCACUUCGGGAUAAGCCUGGGAAACUGGGUCUAAUACCGGAUAGGACCACUGCCUGCAUGGGGGGUGGAAAGCUUUUGCGGGGUGGGAUGGGCCCGCGGCCUAUCAGCUUGUUGGUGGGGUGAUGGCCUACCAAGGCGACGACGGGUAGCCGGCCUGAGAGGGUGACCGGCCACACUGGGACUGAGAUACGGCCCAGACUCCUACGGGAGGCAGCAGUGGGGAAUAUUGCACAAUGGGCGCAAGCCUGAUGCAGCGACGCCGCGUGAGGGAUGACGGCCUUCGGGUUGUAAACCUCUUUCAGCACCGACGAAGCGCAAGUGACGGUAGGUGCAGAAGAAGGACCGGCCAACUACGUGCCAGCCGCCGCAGUAA
rnacentral:rRNA from 1 species